rnacentral:rRNA from 1 species
AUUGAACGCUAGCGGCAUGCUUUACACAUGCAAGUCGAACGGUAACAGGCCGCAAGGUGCUGACGAGUGGCGAACGGGUGAGUAAUGCAUCGGAACGUGCCCAGUCGUGGGGGAUAACGCAGCGAAAGCUGCGCUAAUACCGCAUACGAUCUAUGGAUGAAAGCGGGGGACCGUAAGGCCUCGCGCGAUUGGAGCGGCCGAUGUCAGAUUAGGUAGUUGGUGGGGUAAAGGCUCACCAAGCCAACGAUCUGUAGCUGGUCUGAGAGGACGACCAGCCACACUGGGACUGAGACACGGCCCAGACUCCUACGGGAGGCAGCAGUGGGGAAUUUUGGACAAUGGGCGCAAGCCUGAUCCAGCAAUGCCGCGUGCAGGAAGAAGGCCUACGGGUUGUAAACUGCUUUUGUACGGAACGAAACGGUCCUGGUUAAUACCUGGGGCUAAUGACGGUACCGUAAGAAUAAGCACCGGCUAACUACGUGCCAGCCGCCGCAGUAAAAC